CUGCACCCAAAAACAACUUUUAUCAAUUACGCCGAACGGGGAACACAAGAAAAGGUGCAAAAAGGUGAAUAUCAUUGUGCUAAGCCCUCGAAAAUGCCCCGAACCACAAACACAAUGCAUUUGUUUUCACUUUGUUGAACUUGGAAAACUUUUUCUACAGUCAAGAAAAAGUUCAGGGGUCAAGCCAACGGCCAUUUAAGCUCCAUUAGACAGGCACACAAAGCUCUACGACAGCCGGAGGUCCACUGUAAGGAAAUUCAUUGUCCCCCUCAAGUUGGGGGCCAGCUGCUCUCCACCCACACCCAAACCACACACAGAAACCAAAAGGGUUCCGAUUGCAGUACAAAACAGUAGUAAAUCUUGAAAAAUUGCCAUUCAAUGCAAACAUUUUGAAAACAUUCAUCAAUAAGUUAGAAAUUGCGACUGGGGCACCACCCCAGCAAUGAACAUUUCUCUAAUGUUGCGUUAAGGAAGGAUCCAGGCCCGGCCCCCUGCACCGGCAAAAAAGAAUGCCCAACAUCUCGUAGCAGUAGCCCCAGUCGACGAACGGAUUUCUCUCGGUGGAUGAAACACUUGGCAAGCUCACAUAUGCCACAUGCCACAUGCCGCAGGCCAGCAGCGGAGAGCACGACCUGAACGCCAUCCAGCCAACCAGCCAGUCAAAUCUGUCCAUUUGGCUAAUAAAUCCUUGAGCAGCUUAUUGAGCAACGUCUGCGCAUAAAUAUUAUGGCUGCCAACUGGUCGAGGACAAGGACGAGGACGUGGCCAGUGUGGAGCUGCAGGAAGAGGACCUAUUCACUUGAACACAUCCCUCCGUCUGUGCGCCCCAUCCCUAUGCCACUAAAGCGGCGCAUUCUCUCUCUCUGCUUGCCUCGAACGUGUUAAAUAAAACUCCAUCCAAGAUUUCUGCUAAGUAUACCCUUGCGGCAGCGGGAGCAUUGCUAUUUCUACCCGAGGUUUGUGCACUUUCAUUUUUAAUAUUUCCAACAAUAAAACGUAUCUAAAUUAGUAAAAUUUCUGCUCCAACGUAUGCACAUAUGUAUAUCAAUCCUGUCAACACUCGAAAUUUGUGAAAGAGUGUUCAAAGAUUUGAAAUGUUCAUCCAAGACUCUCGACUUCUGUCACUUCUACGCCGGAAUUCUUGAGCUGACAUUGGAUUUUGGUUGACUGUCGUGAUGGUAUGCCUGGGCCCAGGACACUAUCUACUCUGUCCUGCUGUUAUCCCUCCUACUUUUCUUACGGCUGCUGCUGUUGUUCUUGUUGUUGUUGAUGUCUUAAGUCCACUCGCUGCACUAAAAGGAUAUGCAAAUUGUUUGAAUAGCAAAGGACAUGCUAAACAAUUUCAGAGCCUCGAGCUGCUGCUAGUUUGACAAACAAAAAGAAAGAGGAAAACUAAGCUAAACAAAACAUAUAUCUGCCUUUCUCUGCAGUUGGAUAUUUGAUUCUUUUUUUGUUGUCUGGUAUUGUUGGUCAGAGGAGUCUUCUUUUGGUCAUUGCAUGCCGUUCGUUGUUGCGCAUUAAGUUGUAGCUACAAGGAUACAGGACGUUCAGGACAUUCACAUAUCCCCUCAGCCGCAGAGAAAAUGUUUUAUUUCGUUGUAUUUCACACUCCCUGGGUAUAAAUCACAGAGCCUCAUGUUAUUCGGCAGCCCAUACGGAAUCCCACACCCAGACAUGCCUUCUCCAUCUCGUUCUCCUUGCUGUCGGUUUAUUGAAUUAGUUGAUUAUGGACUAGGGACAGGGACAGAGACAGGGGCAGGGCCAGGAAAUUUUACAGCAAUAAAUCUCCUGUUUUCCAGGCUUACUCAACACGGUUUCAAUCUCAUUUAAAUCUCUAAACAAGGCCAAUUCCAUGUUGCGGUGGAAUGGUACAGCCGAGCACUGCUCCCUCUUAGGCUUCCGCCUUUUCUAUGUGCGCUGCUCAGGUAUCUGGAACAUCGUUUUAAGCCCGGAACAAGUUUCAAAAGUUAACCACACCGAUGCUAAGAUGUGCCCUAAUGUCUGUCUGCUGUUUAUUUUCAAUUACGGAUUAAUAACUGUCUCCGCGAGCAGGGACUUCUUUUCAUGUUAUCCAAGCUAUCCAAUCUGCAAAGUUGAACAGUAUUUACCUGGUUUCCAGAGGGUUUACUUUAUCAGUUUAAGGGGCAAUCAAGCUGAAAAAGUAGUCAAACUUCAGGAAGUAAGAGGCUGACUGUGAAGAAACUCUAAUGUAACUCCUCCUUUCUCCUAUUUAGAGACAUCAUUGAUGUCAGACUGCUGGGUUCUGCAGGGAAAUAUAACAACAAUCGAGGAUAGACUUUUGGUUCUCGUUCUCCUCUUCUUAGCAUUUGGUUGCUUGAGGCGGAAUUCUUAUCCUUUGAUACUCCUCCUCAGUGUGGCUGCCCAGUCGGCGGACAAAGUUUCAUGAAAUGCGAUUUUGUAGCAGGCAAAUCCGACCUGAAAUCUGUUUCAUGGAGCGCCACUUGCGCUCCUCUCUCUGUGUGGCUGUGUAGCUGAGCAAUUAACGGACACAAAGCCAUCAAUUUGCAACAGAAUACUGUGAUAACUGUGCCUCUGACUGAAUCCCUUAACCCUAAUCUUGCUUCAAUUUGCAAUGCCACAAGUUCUCGCUCGCCCCCUCUCCUGCCCGCCGAACCCUGCUCCUACAGCUAUUCAUAUCCAUUUUUUCUUCGAUUUCUUACACAAUGGCGAAAUGCGAAAUC
rnacentral:lncRNA from 1 species